rnacentral:rRNA from 1 species
CCUACGGGAGGCAGCAGUAGGGAAUAUUGGACAAUGGGUGCGAGCCUGAUCCAGCCAUGCCGCGUGCAGGAAGACGGCCUUCUGGGUUGUAAACUGCUUUUGCCAGGGGAUAAAAAGUCCCUGCGGGGAAAAUUGAAGGUACCUGGUGAAUAAGCCACGGCUAACUACGUGCCAGCAGCCGCGGUAAUACGUAGGUGGCAAGCGUUGUCCGGAUUUAUUGGGUUUAAAGGGUGCGUAGGUUGUGUUGUAAGUCAGUGGUGAAAUCCGGCAGCUUAACUGUCGAUGUGCCAUUGAUACUGCAGCACUUGAGUACAGACGAGGUAGGCGGAAUUGACGGUGUAGCGGUGAAAUGCGUAGAUAUCUGAAGGAACAUCAGUGGCGAAAGCGACUUCCUGGACCAAUACUGACGCUCAGGUGCGAAAGCGUGGGGAGCAAACAGGAUUAGAUACCCUGGUAGUCCACGCCAUAAACGAUGACAACUAGAUGUUGGGAGGGUUAGCCUCUCGGUGUCGUAGCUAACGCGUUAAGUUGUCCGCCUGGGGAGUACGGCCGCAAGGUUGAAACUYAAAGGAAUUGACGG